rnacentral:rRNA from 1 species
CAUGGCUGUCGUCAGCUCGUGUCGUGAGAUGUUGGGUUAAGUCCCGUAACGAGCGCAACCCUUGUCCUUAGUUACCAGCACGUUAUGGUGGGCACUCUAAGGAGACUGACCGGUGACAAACCGGGAGGAAGGUGGGGAUGACGUCAAGUCAUCCAUGGCCCUUACGGCCUGGGCUACACACGUGCUACAAUGGUCGGUACAAAGGGUUGCCAAGCCGCGAGGUGGAGACUAAUCCCAUAAAAACCGAUCGUAGUCCGGAUCGCAGUCUGCAACUCGACUGCGUGAAGUCGGAAUCGCUAGUAAUCGUGAAAUCAGAAUGUCACGGUGAAUACGUUCCCGGGCCUU